rnacentral:piRNA from 1 species
UNCCUUCAUUCUUGUAUGCAGUCUAAUAGC